AGGGCGACCUGUGAGCGCCCAGCAAGGUCAAAGACGCCCUCUGAGCGGUGGCAUCUGCCCCUGGGGCUCUUGCUCCCCACUGCGAGGACAAAGUGCACCCCACUCGGAGCAGGCCCUGUCGCCUGUGCUGGGCAGGGCCUUCCUCAAAAGAGGAAGCGGUCCUGGAGGACGUUGGCUGCUGAGUUGCUCAUCCUGGCGCUAGCGCGCUCAGUCCCAUUUUUCAGAGAUAUAAGGUGGCCAGAAAAAAUGCAGUUAUGUUUAAGAAAGGACAUUUGGUGAGGUUACCAGCAGUGUCCCUGAGUUUGCAACAUGGUUAAGAAUCAGUGGAAUACGCAGGUCUAUAGGAAGACCUCACAAUGAACUUUCAGGAAUUCAGAAUUCUGGAGUAUUACACACUUCCAUGUGAAGCAGAAAACAGAAGUACGGCUGAUUGUUCAUUGGCUGCUAAAGCUUCCACCUGGAAGUGACAUCUUUCCCACUCUUUUUGGCCAAAGGGCUCUCUGGCUAGGCGGUAUCCCAUGUGAUCAUUUAGGAGCUAAGGCGCUUCAUACGGUGAUUUUGUCCUCCUGUGUGUCCGUGAAGUCAUCUGCAUGCAGCCAAAGGAUGGGGAAGGAGAAUACUGGAUGAGGAGUGGGAGGUUUUAUUACUGGACUUCUUUUCCUUCCCCAUUCAGCUGGCCAGAACUCCAUCCUGCUCCAGCUGCCAUGGGGUCCACUGAAUGUGAUCUCAUCGUGUGAUCCGAAGAGAACAAGUGUAUGGCGAGCAGCUGGUCAUUCUGCUCCAUUUUAUUCCUUUGCUCUUCUAUUUCACCUCCUAAAAUUCAGGGGUGUUUUCAUUUUUUCAUUAUUUCUGCUGCGUUAAUGCUGUUUAAUGUUGAGGGUCUCAAGUAGCUAAAUAUUUUUUACACAUAAUAAAAC